rnacentral:rRNA from 1 species
GAUGAACGCUAGCGAUAGGCUUAACACAUGCAAGUCGAGGGGCAGCACAAGGUAGCUUGCUAUCUGGGUGGCGACCGGCGCACGGGUGCGUAACGCGUAUGCAACUUGCCCUAUACAGGAGGAUAACCCGUCGAAAGACGGACUAAUACUGCGUAUGCUCACAACUUGGCAUCAAGUGGUGAGGAAAGAAAUUCGGUAUAGGAUAGGCAUGCGUCCCAUUAGCUUGUUGGUGAGGUAACGGCUCACCAAGGCAACGAUGGGUAGGGGAACUGAGAGGUUUAUCCCCCACACUGGUACUGAGACACGGACCAGACUCCUACGGGAGGCAGCAGUGAGGAAUAUUGGUCAAUGGGCGCGAGCCUGAACCAGCCAAGUCGCGUGAAGGAUGACUGUCUUAUGGAUUGUAAACUUCUUUUAUACGGGAAUAACAAGAGUCACGUGUGACUCCCUGCAUGUACCGUAUGAAUAAGCAUCGGCUAACUCCAUG